rnacentral:rRNA from 1 species
UACGGAGGAUGCGAGCGUUAUCCGGAUUUAUUGGGUUUAAAGGGUGCGUAGGCGGUCCGUUAAGUCAGCGGUAAAAUUGCGGGGCUCAACCCCGUCGAGCCGUUGAAACUGGCAGACUUGAGUUGGCGAGAAGUACGCGGAAUGCGCGGUGUAGCGGUGAAAUGCAUAGAUAUCGCGCAGAACUCCGAUUGCGAAGGCAGCGUACCGGCGCCAGACUGACGCUGAGGCACGAAAGCGUGGGGAUUGAACAGG